GGGCUCACUUCAGCAGCACAUAUACUAAAAUUGAAAUGAUACAGAGAAGAUUAGCAUGGCCCCUACACGAGGAUGACACGCAAAUUCGUGAAGCACUCCAUUUUUUU
ensembl:snRNA U6 U6 spliceosomal RNA